GGUGCUCACUUCGGCAGCACUAUACACUAAAGCUGGAAGGAUACAGAGAAGAUUAGCAUGGCCCCUGCACAAGGAUGACAUGCAAAUUUGUGAAGCAUUCCAUAUUUUU
ensembl:snRNA U6 U6 spliceosomal RNA